AGUCGAGCGGCAGCGGGAAAGUAGCUUGCUACUUUUGCCGGCGAGCGGCGGACGGGUGAGUAAUGCCUGGGGAUCUGCCCAGUCGAGGGGGAUAACAGUUGGAAACGACUGCUAAUACCGCAUACGCCCUACGGGGGAAAGGAGGGGACCUUCGGGCCUUUCGCGAUUGGAUGAACCCAGGUGGGAUUAGCUAGUUGGUGGGGUAAUGGCUCACCAAGGCGACGAUCCCUAGCUGGUCUGAGAGGAUGAUCAGCCACACUGGARCUGAGACACGGUCCAGACUCCUACGGGAGGCAGCAGUGGGGAAUAUUGCACAAUGGGGGAAACCCUGAUGCAGCCAUGCCGCGUGUGUGAAGAAGGCCUUCGGGUUGUAAAGCACUUUCAGCGAGGAGGAAAGGUUGGCGCCUAAUACGUGUCAACUGUGACGUUACUCGCAGAAGAAGCACCGGCUAACUCCGUGCCAGCAGCCGCGGUAAUACGGAGGGUGCAAGCGUUAAUCGGAAUUACUGGGCGUAAAGCGCACGCAGGCGGUUGGAUAAGUUAGAUGUGAAAGCCCCGGGCUCA
rnacentral:rRNA from 1 species